rnacentral:rRNA from 1 species
UACGUAGGUGGCAAGCGUUGUCCGGAAUUAUUGGGCGUAAAGAGCAUGUAGGCGGGCUUUUAAGUCCGACGUGAAAAUGCGGGGCUUAACCCCGUAUGGCGUUGGAUACUGGAAGUCUUGAGCGCAGGAGAGGAAAGGGGAAUUCCCAGUGUAGCGGUGAAAUGCGUAGAUAUUGGGAGGAACACCAGUGGCGAAGGCGCCUUUCUGGACUGUGUCUGACGCUGAGAUGCGAAAGCCAGGGUAGCAAACGGG